rnacentral:rRNA from 1 species
UACGGGGGGGGCAAGCGUUGUUCGGAAUUACUGGGCGUAAAGGGCUCGUAGGCGGCCAACUAAGUCGGAUGUGAAAUCCCCAGGCUCAACUUGGGAACUGCAUCCGAUACUGGAUGGCUUGAAUUCGGGAGAGGGAUGUGGAAUUCCAGGUGUAGCGGUGAAAUGCGUAGAUAUCUGGAGGAACAUCGGUGGCGAAGGCGGCAUCCUGGACCGGUAUUGACGCUGAGGCGCGAAAGCUAGGGGAGCAAACGGG